AAGAACUUGAACGACGGAGGCCGCGAAAGCGCGCAUAGAAAGCAUAAAGCUGUACUGUAGUGAGUCAGAAAUUUUUUUUUUUUUUUUUUUUUUUUAAUUAGUG
rnacentral:ribozyme from 19 species